UUCCACCGUAUUAAUCCCCCGUGCUCCUCGUCUCGUGGAAGCGAGUGGACGGAGCGGAGCGAUAACCUGACGGGGCGCGGGCUGCACGCCGCGCGCAGACACGUCCUGUUUAUGAAAAUACAGCCGAGCGUAAGCGUCGAGAACUUGUUGCACAAAGAACGAGCGUUGAUCCGCGUCGCUGCGUUCGUUUCGGCGGAGUCCGGACCGCUUCCGAGAUUAUUUCACCAUCGAAUUAGAAGAGGGGGUGUGGAUUCCACGCGGCGCCCGCUUGUGUCAGGCUACUGUGAACUCUGACCCCGAUCUCCACGCAGACAAAUUCGCAGGCCGAGCUCUCAGCGAGUCUCUGAGGAGAGUUGAGCAACAUACUGUACAAUCCACACUGAGGCCCCCGGAGACCGACGUGUCAAUCUCUUGAUGAAUUAUUGAAGACGCACCGCCCCCACUAUAUUUCUUAUAUAGGCAGCAGUCGUGACCUCUAUGAGGUUAGCGAGCGCAGCACGGCCAUCACGUGAAGGCAGCACACAUGCUCUGUUUUUCUAUUGAAGAGGCAGGACCUCAUUGUGCAGGGAUGAAGAAGGGGGGGGGGUGCAGCUCACGCCCCCAACGCGUCUGCUUGAACUUGUGAAACAGCGCUCACAACGGGCUCCUGGCGCGCUGGAGCAGCCGGCUGAAGCCCCCCAGGAGGCUAAGUUGAAUCAAUUCUGCUAAUGAUGUUUGUAAUUUAGGAGGCUAAUGACAUGCACUAUGAACUGGAAGAUUACGUCUAGGAGACACCUCUUAGAGUCAAGUGCUCCAAUGAUUGCCUUGGAGGAUCACAAACACGCACAGAAAUGAGGAGAUGGUGAAAAUGUAGUGCAGGUUAAAAAUAAUCAAAACUGAAAACACAGGCACUGAGUCAUUAUAAGACAUAAGCAGGCUUCCUAAGAUUAUAAUAAUGUACAUGCAACUUAAACUGGAAUCAACCCAGAAGUUGACCUUUGACCCUAUUUGUGAAAUAUUUCAAAAUCUUGCUUCUUGCUCAUCUCGUCUCUCAGACUCAGGCCUGAGUGCUCUUGAGCUCCUCGGGGUGGACUGAAGCCUGCUUCCUGUGGGAUGAGGAUGCCUCUCGGCGUGCGGGAUGUGGAGUGUGGCUUUUGCGGAUGAGCGGCCGUACAUGUGGGCGCACGUGCCGCCGCAUAUACGUCCCGGCGGCGGCGGCGAGGAGUGGGAAGCUGCGCGGCGUGAUAUGCAUGCGCCGCCACGCUGAUAUGAUUACUCCACAGGCUGCUCCCUGUGUUUUAGGCCGGUCAUUAACAACCCAUUUGAAGACUUUGUCAAUAGGUGCCAAGACAACAAGAAGCAACAUCGCCCCCCCUGUGCUCCACACCCCUCCUCCCACCCACUUGCCUUUCUCCUCUCUCAUUAAUAUGGAAAUGAGUCACUCAUUGUUGUUAAAAGAAGAGAAAGCUGUCAUGUCUUUGGUGACAGGCUCAAUGGAUGUGUUUGGAUUGCAGCGACUUGCUGUUUUUCCGAGAGCACGUCUUAUCUUUGUUUAGGCAGCGAAUCAAAAAUGUAAACAUCACUUCAUUAGCAUCUGUCAGGAAGCUUAACGCUAUGAUUUUUAAUACAUGGCUAAACCCUCUGAAUAGGCAAACAGGCCUUGUUAUUCUGUCUCGUCUUUUAUCUCCACUUUGUGUAGUAGUUAAUUUCUCAAAGGGAAACUUACUUAAUCCUCUGCAUUUGCUGCCUUCUAGCUCCGCUGGAACGUUACUUGCUUUACUUUACUUUUCUUGCUGGUCAGUGUUUUACUCCUUUUGAUGCUUUCUUUUUUGCAUCAAGGACAUCUGCACAGUGUGGACCGAUAUUAUCUUUACUGGGACAUUGGGUACAUGCAGCUCCUUGCUGUUGUAGGGAAUCAUACAUGCCGGAGUUCAUCACUGAAGUUAAAGCACCUCUCAGAUACAGGAGAGGCAGAAUCUGCCCCCAAAAUAGAGAGACAUAAAGACGAGUACCAGGAGGAUGUGAUAAGAUUAAGGUGUGCAAAUGUCAGCUCCUCCUCCGGGAGGAGCAACAGGCCGUGAUCUGAGCUGCACACGCUUGUGUCAAAGCAUCGUGUCAAUUUGUGCGUUUUUGUGGAGCAAGAGGGACAAAGAUCUACGACACGGCAGUGGGUAAGUGAGAUUAUUCCCACUGCUGCUGCUGCAGGUACAGUUUAGCAUCUCUCUGUAAUACGUGCAGACGUGCAGCAGUUUCUAUUAACGUAAUGAAGACACAGAGGAAUGCGUCGCUUGCUGCAUCUACCAAGCCGUUAUUUGACGUCUAAUUCCUCUAAGCAGCGGUCAGCAGCAGCGGUGGGGCUGGAAUCAACAGGACUUAUUGCAGUGACUCCCUCCGAUGUUCCCUGGGUUUAAAAUUCAUUCGCACGCUUCCCUAGCGGAGACGCACAGAGUUCAUGCUAAUGAUCUGGCUUUAUUAAAACUAGACAAUACCUUUGGCAGCUUGAAAAGCACAACUAAACAAUCCUAAUUUGCUACAGCUCCCAUUUACACCUCCGUCAGGCGACUUCUCCAUAGCAACACGGGCUGAGGUUCUGGUUAUCGGAGUAUUUGGGCCCAUUAGAUGUACAAAGUGGAUUUCAAGCUGAUGCAUGUUGGAGAGAACGAUCCAUGGCCUAAGUAAAACAAAUUAUAAUGGGAGAAUAGGAAGAGAUUUCACAAUUCUUGCACAACCGGAGGACAAACCUUUAUCGCAAUAAUCAGAAAUCCAUGGAUUUGUGGCACUUUAACAAAGAAUCUGCAACUUGGUCCACGUUGAUUAGACAAAGCUUCCAUCUCGUGAAAAGAACACAGCUCAGAUGUAAUUAUGUACAGGAGUCGUCUCAGAAUGCUUCCCUUUUAAAUCACAUUCCUAAUUGUCUAUUCAGAAGUUGUUCCAGUUGCUCAAGUGCCUUUAUGUGAAACAGGGGAGGGGAUGAAUAUGUGUGUAAUGCCUUUGCAUUUGUAUUCCUCUAUCCAUCUCCCUUUUUGUCAGAACAGUUUCAUUUCCAUGUCAGUGAUUUAUGUAGGGAGAUAGCAGAGAGUCUGUUAAUGGGAUAUUUCUUUUGCUCUCCUCAGGAACAACAUGUCAAAACAGAGACGGGGAAAACAAACCCAAAUGCUUGCAGGGGAACAAAUUAGGUCUUGUGACAAUAUUGGGAAAGAAAAAAAACAUUUUCAAGUCGUAAACAUGGAGGCGUCUUGGAUUUGAUGUGCGUCUCCUCGUUUAAAAAACACUGGGCUGUAAUUGAAACGGAGGCCUUUGCAAGCUGGAAGACGCACGUUGAACCGUCCCUGCUGAAGAUGACACAGGAAGUCAUGAGAGGAAACAGCCAAUAAUCGUAGCGAUGCGAUGUAGCUUACACGCGGCUUGUGAUAGUUUCCAUCUUCCCUCACCUUCAAUUAUCUUUAGAGAAUAUGGAGCUUAUAUUAGUAUGUAUGUUUUAUUUACUGCAGACGAGUGAAAUUCAAACAUUUGACAUUUUAAACCAAUUAUUUUUACUACAGGCAAUGAUAUUUUUGUGCUGUGAGUUUAUUUUGGACGGAGAGUGCCUGUUUUUUCCUGCAGCCUGCUUUCAGAUGCUGAGAGGAGGAGGUGGUGCUCACAGUCUGAAGUGGGUCUUCCACUAAGCACUAACCUCGGCCCCCCUGGCGGACGCUGGGCUCGGGCCAAGGCGGGAGAGGAGAGGAGCGGCGUCCUGCUGAGGCGCCGGGUCUGGUCUGGAGGUAAUGGGCAGAAGGGAAAAGGAGCGUUGCCUGUGGCGUGGCCCAAAAUGAAUUACUGCCAUCUUUCUGCUCCUCCGCCUCUCAGUGAGAGCGGAGUCUGGAGGGCCUGAUAACAAGGGCACAGAACCACCAACCAAAGCAGAACGGGGGACGCGCCAGCGAAAAAAUAAUAAAGCUGUCUGGCAGAGUUAAUAUCAUGUCAUUUAUGAUGAUUUGGCUGGAUGUGUGAUGAGGUCAUUCUCAUUGUGGUGUUAAUGUCAGGCCAGACAGUAAACGCGGCCGGUGGCGAAGACCGGAGCAGAGCGGAACAGGACACAAAACAAAAUCUAUGGGUUUAACAGGUGAUUUGCAUCUACGGCUAAUUUCUGGUGGCCUUCUGGGAACGAAAACAAACCCACAGCUGGAAAACAACACGCGUCACGUCACCUCUGGUGAAGAUUUGAUCCUCGUAAUCACAUGUUUUUACGGUGUUUAUCCAGGCGGCUGCGAGUCUUGGGGGCGAUCUGAGUAAUUUCCAGUAAACAUGAUUUGAAUUUCCUCAGGGAUCAAUACUCCGCUAUCAUGAAUGUUGUGCUGGUUGGUGCUUGUCUGUCGCAGCCUGGGAUCGUAUGUGGUGGUUCCUGUGGUCAGUAAGAUGAUAUGUGCAACCGUCUCCAGGAGGGGAGGAAGCCACUGAUGCUGUUGAUCAGCAUCGUCUGGUCUCUGAUCAACAUGAGGUGAAUCAUAUUCACUUAAACAUUUUUAAUAUACAGCAAAUUCAAUUUAAGUCAGCCGAACUACAGUGAAUCACUGUAUCGGUGGGAACUUUUCCAUUAAAAGCCAUCCUGAGUUUGUCUGAAUGGGAUCUGACUAGCUGAUGUGGAAAAAGGGACGGCAGAAAAAUGGAUGCAUAAUUAGGUCAAAGCAAUAGAAACUGUUGAGUUGCAUUUUGAUUCAUUCCGCUUUGCCCCGUUUGAACGUGUCACCUGCAUGCAAAUGAUUCUCUUUCUU